AUUUGAAAGCUUUGGUUGGAGCUACUCUGAGCCACCAAAUAUCCGCGCACACACACAAAACAAACAAACAUCAUUUCCCAAGGCAAGAAUCGUCAAAAAAUUUGGAACUCUUUUUUUUUUUUUGAAAAACUAGCUUAAAACUCUUGUUCACGAACUUUUACUCAAAAUUAACUCAGCAAAAAGUAAUAAGCCAAGCUUAAAGGGUAGAGCCAAACGGGACCUAAAGUAUUUUGAAAACCAUUCUGAAAGAUGAAACCAACGUAUAUAUAUAUAUCAAAAUAAAUGAUCACAAUAAUCCAAAACUCUACUUAGUUUUCAGGGAUUAAUACAGGAGUACGAAUUAAAAUGACUUGCCACUCACGUGAAGAAGUUGGGGUUGAGUUUCCCAGAAGCCCCUGUCAUCUUCAACAUUCCUACUACUUUCUUCCUCUUCCUCUUCAUCAAUUUCUUCAUUCUCACCGUAAUCACGACCGUCAGUACUUUCCGGCGA